GACAGAGGUGCCGAGCGUUAGGCGGAAUCACUGGGCUUAAAGCGUGUGUAGGCGGCUCGUUAAGUACCUUGUGAAAUCCCACGGCUUAACCGUGGAACUGCUGGGUAUACUGGCGAUCUUGAGCCACCUAGGGGCUACCGGAACAAAUGGUGGAGCGGUGAAAUGCGUAGAUAUCAUUUGGAACGCCAAUGGUGAAAACAGGUUGCUGGGGGUGUGCUGACGCUGAGACACGAAAGCCAGGGGAGCGAACGGG
rnacentral:rRNA from 1 species